GACCCAACAAAUAUAGAGAACUUCAGAC
rnacentral:piRNA from 1 species